GACGAACGCUGGCGGCGUGCUUAACACAUGCAAGUCGAACGAUGAAACCUAGCUUGCUAGGUCGAUUAGUGGCGAACGGGUGAGUAACACGUGACUAACCUGCCCCUUUCUCUGGGAUAACGCUCCGAAAGGAGUGCUAAUACCGGAUACUCACACCGAGGCACAUGCCUUGGUGUGGAAAGUUUUUCGGAAAGGGAUGGAGUCGCGGCCUAUCAGCUUGGUGGUGAGGUAACGGCUCACCAAGGCGACGACGGGUAGCCGGCCUGAGAGGGCGACCGGCCACACUGGGACUGAGGCACGGCCCAGACUCCUACGGGAAGCAGCAGUGGGGAAUAUUGCACAAUGGGCGCAAGCCUGAUGCAGCGACGCCGCGUGAGGGAUGAAGGUCUUCGGAUUGUAAACCUCUUUCAGUAGGGACGAAGCGAAAGUGACGGUACCUAAAGAAGAAGCACCGGCUAACUACGUGCCAGCAGCCGCCGUAA
rnacentral:rRNA from 1 species